UGAAUAUUACUACUUUAAAUAUUGGGAAUGACGUUCUCACUAUUUACGAUGGAAUGAACUCCAGUGCGCAUGUCCUGGGAAGAUUUUUUCGUCACAGCAAAAACGUCUAUAACAACAUUACAAUGCUGUCAUCGACCAACAAUAUUUAUAUUUUAUUACAAUAUGAAAAGUUUUCAAAUUUAAGUGAAUCAGGUUUUGUUCUGGAGUACAGGAGUCAACGAAUACCAACAGAACCAUUACCGUCACCAAAAUUUCCAUCUGAUGAGUCAACAGUUGCAGGUGAUCAAUGGCCUAACAGCAGUUUUGGCUUGCCAAGUACAUACUCUGGAUGUCCUGGUGGCUUAAAUAGUGGUUGGCGUGAGGGAUGGAGGUUGCAGGAUAUG